UUGGUGUGAAUUGCAGAAUUCAGUGAAUCAUCGAAUCUUUGAACGCACCUUGCGCCCUUUGGUAUUCCGAGGGGCAUGCCUGUUUGAGUGUCAUUAAAUACCAUCAACCCUCUUUUGACUUCGGUCUCGAGAGUGGCUUGGAAGUGGAGGUCUGCUGGAGCCUAACGGAGCCAGCUCCUCUUAAAUGUAUUAGCGGAUUUCCCUUGCGGGAUCGCGUCUCCGAUGUGAUAAUUUCUACGUCGUUGACCAUCUCGGGGCUGACCUAGUCAGUUUCAAUAGGAGUCUGCUUCUAACCGUCUCUUGACUGAGACUAGCGACUUGUGCGCUAACUUUUGACUUGACCUCAAAUCAGGUAGGACUACCCGCUGAACUUAAGCAUAUCAA
rnacentral:rRNA from 1 species